rnacentral:lncRNA from 1 species
GGGUUUUUCCUGUGCUGUGCUCCUCACGGAGAAGCUAAGGUGUAGUCCUCGGAAGCAAGUUUUCUCUCUGGAUCGAGACCUCUCGAGGGCUUUUGAAGUAUUUCUCUGUGACCUGGUGGCUGGGGUCGUUUGAGGGCUUAGGCCAGGUGGUCUCGUGACACGUCCCUGUCACCUUCCGGUAAAGCGAAAGGAUAAGCGUCUGCAGGGUAGAGCUGAGGUCGGGGCCCGGCGGCAGGCGCCCGGCCACUCCCGGGUCACCAUGGCCGUGUCCACCCAGCAGCUGGCGGAGGAACUACAGAUCUUCGGCCUGGACUACGAGGACUCCCUGUUGGAGAAACACUGAGGACGGGAUGGUCAGUGAGCUCAUCGCCUUCUGCACCAGUGCGGGGAAGACAUGCCUUACUGUAGACAUCCUGAACUCUUUUGAAUACGAGGUUCUGAACAAAAAACUCUCCAAAGCCUGGCACAGUGCCUCCAAAGACAGUGGGCAUGCAGGAACCAGAGACAUUGUUUCUAUACAAGAGCUGUAUCCUUUUCUGCUGAAGGUCUUUGGACUAAGCACAUACAUGUGCUAUGUAAUUUCCCAGGUUGUAUAUAUGCUUUUAAAACAAACUUUAAAAAUGCCUAACAUUCAGUCUCUCAUUUACUCUCCUGUAGUUGCUCUCCUUGACCAGUGUUUUCAGAAUUGAAGCAGAGGAGGAAGAGGAGACCCUCCUAAGCUCUUAUACCACACCCUCUAAGGUGAACAUGCGGCAUCUGGGAAUUGCAUCCUACACAUAACUUUUUUUUUUUAUGUAUAUGAGCACACUGUAGCUGUCUUCAGACACACCAGAAGAGGACAUCAGAUCCCAUUAUAGGUGGUUAUGAGCCACCAUGUGGUUGCUGGGAUUUGAACUCAGGGUCUUUGGAAGAGCAGUCAGUGCUCUUACCUACUGAGCCAUCUCUCCAGCCCGUAAAUAGCAUUCUUAAAACCACAUCACAGAGCUGUGCAUGGGGGCACUCACCUUUAGUCCCAACACUUGGGAGCAGUGGCAGGUGGAUAUCUGUGAAUUCCAGGGCAGCCUGGUCUCUUUAAACACAAGGUUCACGUUGUGAAUUACCUUGUGUGAGGAGAGGGUGUGUCUGAACUGGUCCUGCCUUGCCUUUGUCUCUCCACUCUGACACACUUGUUAUCUUGCUUGGUCUUCAGGCAUACCAGACCUAGCAGCCUGUCAGAAGUGGCAGCCUCCUGUCUCUUCCUCUUGGAUCUUAAUUUUGGUUCAUUUCUUUCCAUUACAGACGCUCUCAGAGUGUGGGUGCUGCUUCCUUCCCUGUUCUUUGCCUAGGGCCUGGGCCAUGAUCACUGCAGAAUUAGUGCACUAGAGGAAUCUUUUUGAAAAAAUAGCUGGAGGAAUCGUAAAGUCAUGUUUAUCCUUUGUUUUAUUCAUCCUUUGUGGAGAAAGGUUUCAUGAGAGCUAGGAGUGUAGCCCAGUGGGUACAUGUUUAGUGUCUUCAAGGCCCCACAGUUUGUUCCCAGCCGCCCACCUCCUAGAAAUGCCUGAGGGAAUGAUGCAGGUCACACACUGGUGCAUGGUGGUGGACAUACAACUGCUUAUAAUGAUAAAAAUUAAGAAUGACAUAUCCUAAACAAGGAGGCAUGAAAGUUAUUUAUGACCUCAAUCAGAGUUAUCUUAAUCAGAGAUUAAGGAUAAAGAUUGUACCAGUGUAGGAAAAUGCAUAUAGAAUUUAAAAAUCAGUAUGUAAAAAGCCGUAAGUUUUAAGUUUAAAUUAGGAUAACUAUUUCAGUGACUAUAUUUAGUUGAAAGAUAUUAAGAUACAAUUAAGGAAUGUUCAAGAGUGGUUAUUUUAGACAGGUGUGGUGGCGCACGCCUUUAAUCCCAGGACUUGGGAGGCAGAGGUAAGAGAUCAAUCUCUGAGUUCAAGGGUCGCCUGGUCUACCCAGCUCUAGGUCAGCCAGGAUUACACAGAGAGACUCUGUCUAAACAAACAAGCAAGCAGUGACUGUAGAGGGCCAUCAGUGUGGAGAGCGGUCACUUUAGAGGACUUGCCUUCCGUCCCUAGAACUCAUGGAAGGUGGAUGAAGAGAGCCAGCUCCACAGGGCUGUCCUCUGACUCCAUACUUGUACCAGGGCAACUAAGCCCACACACAAUAUGCACACACUCACUAAUAAGUAAACAUAGAAAAAUUUAAAUUUAAAAUCUAGUUUGUCAGCCAGGGGUGGUAGAAGCACAUCAAAAAUUGGGGGCCAGCCUCAGCUACAUAGAGAGUUGAAGGCCAGUGUGGGCUUUAAUACCUGAGACUGUCUCAAACAAAAAACAGGCUGGAGAACUCUCUUGUCAGUUAUGCGAUCUUGCAGAGGACCCAAAUUCAGUCUUGAGCACCCACAUUAGACGGUUUACAGCUGGGUAACUGCAGCUCCAGGGGUCCUGAUGUCUCUUGCGGACCCCCCCCCCCCCAGGUACCUUCACUGCAUGCACAUGCUCACACAAGCACACAGGAAUAAAAGUAAAUAAAACCACAAGUCAUGGUAUAGCCAGUGCUGGCCCACAGUUGGGUAACCUUUGCACUGCAGCUCCCAAAAGCUAGGAUUUCACGUAUGAGCCAUCAGCCCUUCUUAGUGAUGGCUCUGAGUCUGUUCUCACCUUGGAUCUAUCCCACAGGCUCUACCAGUUGAUAGAUUGGUGGCAUUUCCUUAAGUGCACCAACAGGGGGAGCCCUUGAGCCAGAAAAGUUUGUGCAUCUGAGAUGUGUGGUUGUCCUGAGCAAGACAUUGUCUUUCCUGUUAGUCUCCCAUUUUCCUAGGCUUUCGGGAAUGUUAGGUCCCGUGAUUGGGUUUCAUCCUUAAUUCUGAACUUAUCUGGCUUCCUGUUGUUGAGC